rnacentral:rRNA from 1 species
UACGAAGGGGGCUAGCGUUGCUCGGAAUUACUGGGCGUAAAGCGCGCGUAGGCGGGUCGUUAAGUCGGGGGUGAAAUCCUGGAGCUCAACUCCAGAACUGCCUUCGAUACUGGCGAUCUUGAGUCCGGGAGAGGUGAGUGGAACUCCGAGUGUAGAGGUGAAAUUCGUAGAUAUUCGCAAGAACACCAGUGGCGAAGGCGGCUCACUGGCCCGGUACUGACGCUGAGGCACGAAAGCGUGGGGAGCAAACAGG